rnacentral:rRNA from 1 species
UACGGAGGGUGCAAGCGUUAUCCGGAUUCACUGGGUUUAAAGGGUGCGUAGGCGGAUAUGUAAGUCCGUGGUGAAAUCUCUGGGCUUAACCCGGAAACUGCCAUGGAUACUAUGUGUCUUGAAUGUUGUUGAGGUGAGCGGAAUAUGGUCAUGUAGCGGUGAAAUGGCUUAGGAUAUGACAUACGAACACCAAUUGCGAAGGCCAGCU